AACGAGCGUCUAAGACGACACAUUUGGACGACACCAAUUUUGACACCACAGUAGUGGCAAUGGAAAGUAAUGCAGAUACUCUUGAAGAUAUAACAGAUAAUAAGCAGGACAUGAACGAAGUAUGGAGGAUCUGUUUGAAAAUUCCAGACAUGAGAAAGAAAAUGACAGGGGUAGAUGUCCAGUUCAACGUUACCAGGACAAUUCAGCAAAGUUCCAACAUAUAUAAAAAAUCUGAAUUGGAGGCAAAUAUAUACUGUCAUGUAUAUAUAUAAGAUGGAUAAAGGACAUGAUACUUUAGCAGUGCUUCAGAGAAUCACAUUUGGUUACAGAAGUUUGUAGUAUUUUGGUUGUAAUCAAGUUAUUAAGCUGAAGCUUCAUAGUAAAACAGAUCUAGGCUACACCUUCACUAUUCAAGUCAGACUUUAAAAGAAAGAUUUUUUGUUGAUAGUUGAACUUAUGAAGAAACUUUCAAAAGAGUGGAGCAUUUAGAAGACAGAACAAUCAAAUAUUAUUUGUUACUAUUUCAGUAACUUUUCAAAUGUUAACUGUUUAGAAUAUUCUUAAAUAUAAAUAUAAUUGAAUUUAAUGUGGAAAGUGUUUUGUUUUUUUUAACAUUUGGUAACAUAUGCCUCUGUUAGGGAC